rnacentral:rRNA from 1 species
GAGUUUGAUCAUGGCUCAGAAUCAACGCUGGCGGCGUGCCUAACACAUGCAAGUCGAACGAGAAAGUGGAGCAAUCCAUGAGUAAAGUGGCGCACGGGUGAGUAACACGUGACUAACCUACCCUUGAGUGGGGAAUAACUUCGGGAAACCGAGGCUAAUACCGCAUAACACCUACGGGUCAAAGGAGCAAUUCGCUUAAGGAGGGGGUCGCGGCAGAUUAGUUAGUUGGCGGGGUAAUGGCCCACCAAGACGGUGAUCUGUAUCCGGCCUGAGAGGGCGCACGGACACACUGGAACUGAAACACGGUCCAGACUCCUACGGGAGGCAGCAGUGGGGAAUUUUGCGCAAUGGGGGAAACCCUGACGCAGCAACGCCGCGUGGAGGAUGAAGUCCCUUGGGACGUAAACUCCUUUCGAUCGGGACGAUUAUGACGGUACCGGAAGAAGAAGCCCCGGCUAACUUCGUGCCAGCAGCCGCGGUAAUACG